rnacentral:lncRNA from 1 species
CCACAUUGUUGAUACCCUACCACAGGCUAGAAAUAUGGUUGUGGUAGUCCACAGGACUAACCACGGUUGAUGCCUUGCCAUGGGCUGAAAAUAUGGUUGUGGUAGUUUGGAGUUGAGCACCUGUGGUCCCCUAGACUAGCCAUUGUUAGUGACUUGCCAUGGGCUAUAAACGUGGUUGUGGUAGCUGGGGUUUGAGCAUUUGUGGUCCUCUAGGGUAGCCAUAGUAUUAGUAACUUGCCAUG